rnacentral:rRNA from 1 species
AUUGAACGCUGGCGGCAGGCCUAACACAUGCAAGUCGAGCGGCAGCGGAAAAGUAGCUUGCUACUUUUGCCGGCGAGCGGCGGACGGGUGAGUAAUGCCUGGGAAAUUGCCCAGUCGAGGGGGAUAACAGUUGGAAACGACUGCUAAUACCGCAUACGCCCUACGGGGGAAAGCAGGGGACCUUCGGGCCUUGCGCGAUUGGAUAUGCCCAGGUGGGAUUAGCUAGUUGGUGAGGUAAUGGCUCACCAAGGCGACGAUCCCUAGCUGGUCUGAGAGGAUGAUCAGCCACACUGGAACUGGGACACGGUCCAGACUCCUACGGGAGGCAGCAGUGGGGAAUAUUGCACAAUGGGGGAAACCCUGAUGCAGCCAUGCCGCGUGUGUGAAGAAGGCCUUCGGGUUGUAAAGCACUUUCAGCGAGGAGGAAAGGUUGAUGCCUAAUACGUAUCAACUGUGACGUUACUCGCAGAAGAAGCACCGGCUAACUCCGUGCCAGCCGCCGCCGUAAAAC